rnacentral:rRNA from 1 species
GUGGGGUAAUGGCUCACCAAGGCGACGACGGGUAGCCGGCCUGAGAGGGUGACCGGCCACACUGGGACUGAGACACGGCCCAGACUCCUACGGGAGGCAGCAGUGGGGAAUAUUGCACAAUGGGCGCAAGCCUGAUGCAGCGAUGCCGCGUGCGGGAUGAAGGCCCUAGGGUUGUAAACCGCUUUCAGUAGGGAAGAAAAUGACGGUACCUACAGAAGAAGGUGCGGCCAACUACGUGCCAGCAGCCGCGGUAACACGUAGGCACCAAGCGUUAUCCGGAUUUAUUGGGCGUAAAGAGCUCGUAGGCGGUUCAGUCAGUCGGGUGUGAAAACUUGAGGCUUAACCUCAAGAGGUCACUCGAUACUACUGUGACUAGAGUGCGGUAGGGGAGCGGGGAAUUCCUGGUGUAGCGGUGAAAUGCGCAGAUAUCAGGAGGAACACCAGUGGCGAAGGCGCCGCUCUGGGCCGUAACUGACGCUGAGGAGCGAAAGUGUGGGGAGCGAACAGGAUUAGAUACCCUGGUAGUCCACACCGUAAACGUUGGGCGCUAGGUGUGGGGACCUUCCACGGUUUCCGUGCCGCAGCUAACGCAUUAAGCG